GCUGAAGAUGGACACUGGUACUCUGUGGGAUGAGGUAGUAGAUUGUAUAGUUUUAGGGUCAUACCCCAUCUUGGAGAUAACUAUACAGUCUACUGUCUUUCCCACGGUGGUACGCUUCUCUUCUGACUGGC
rnacentral:pre_miRNA from 14 species